ensembl:lncRNA
AUGCAGACUUGCCUGCCCCCACCUCCCCCACACCACCCCGUCCCAACAUGGAUCACGUCUAGGUGUGUGGAGCCCAUUAUAAAAACACAGGAAACAACACCUUUCCAACAGCAGCGAAGGAGGACCAGAGGGAGACAUCAGCCUUGGAAUGAGCGGAGCCCUGGAGCCGGCUCCCUGCUCCGUGCACAGCGCAUCACUUUUCCAUCUGCAGUGGGACAAGGCCGUGUGUCUAAGACGGUCCAUUUCCAGCACGAGGAUGCUUCCUGGGACCCACGCGUCAGCAGCUCCCAGCAGGCGCUGCAGGGUCGGAAACUCUUUGUCCUCUCACAAGUCCGCGUUUGCACAAGUCUUUCUCCUGAUGGUUGGCCUGUGCUAAGGAACAGACAGACUUCUUGCUUUCAGACGUGUUCGGUACUGUUGAGGAGACAAGGGGAUUUUUUUUCAGAUCAUGAACAAUAAAACAGGACAAAAUAUAUAGCUAAAGAUGUAGAGGAGAAGGGGGCAUGGCUUGAGGAUUGGUCACUCUGUAUCAGAAAAGUUUCCUGACUACGACCCCCAAGGGUCAUGGGACAGGGUUAGUCUUAGAGGAGGUGGGGGUGUGAGCAGCAUCAACAGGGGGUGAUAUUUUCCAGGAGCGAGGGCCAGGCCAUGCUGCAGGCUUCAUGCUGGAUGGCAGCGGGGAACGAGCCUGGACACGAGGGUUGUUAUAGGAGAGCGGUCAUGUGUGUCCUUGCCUCUCUUCUAGGUGGGCUGAUGGCUUCCUUCUCUGACCACAGACUGGACCCUGGGACCAGGCUGUGAGAACUCAGCCUUGUGAUGGGAUCCUGACCUCACAAAGGCCUGGCUGCUCUUGGGUGUGGCGGCCCCCUACCUUGUGGACACCCCAUGGCCCCACACAUCCUACUGUGUGUCCAUCCCAGGAGCCAGCGUCCCCACCUCUGCCUCCUGGGACCAGCUGUUCUCCAUCCUCCGCAACCCCUACCCCUACCCCCGAGACAGUAAGUACCGACUCUCUUUGCCAGGCCUGACUCUCAGUUCAGUUCAGUCGCUCAGUCGUGUCCAACUCUCUGUGACCCCAUGGACUGCACAGCAUGCCAGGCUUCCCUGUCCAUCACCAUCUCUUAGAGCUUGCUCAAACUCAGUUAUGCCAUCCAACCAUCUCAUCCUCUGUCAUCCCCUUCCCUUCCUCCCCUCAAUCUUUCCCAGCAUCAGGGUUUUUUCCAGUGAGUCAGUUCUUCCCAUCAGGUGGCCAAAGUAUUGGAGUUUCAGCUUCAGCAUCAGUCCUUCCAAUGAAUAUUCAGGACUGAUUUCCUUUAGGGUGGACUGGUUGGAUCUCCUUGCAGACCAAGGGACUCUCAAGAGACUUCAACACCACAGUUCAAAAUCAUCAAUUCUUCGGUGCUCAGCUUUUUUUUUUUUUUAUGGUCCAACUCUCACAUCCAUACAUGACUAGUGGAAA